rnacentral:lncRNA from 1 species
GACAUAUUUUCAUUUUUUUGACAAAAGCAAAGGAUAUUCAUUCAUUCAAAUUGAUAGAAUACAUCAGAGACAAUAACAUGAUCAAUAUCCCUUAAAACGUAUAGGGUGAAUCUGCGAACAAACUCACAUCAUCAAAAUUAAUAGCAUAUAACGAUAAAAUGCCUACAAAUAAUAUGAUAAAAUCUAAAUCACCAGAAUACCCAUGUUUCUGGAUCUACUACGUUGAUACCCAAAUCAUUGAUUGAAUUUGUGAUUGUCUGAAGUUGAUCUUUCAAUACGAACCAAACGAACACUACACAACAAAAGAUGCGAAAUCAAACAACGCCGGACAAGACGACGAACAACAGAACGUCGCACUAAGACGACGAAAUCACGAAAGAAAAACUUGAUGUAUGUGAAAAUCACUUAUUUAGAUUGAAAGAAAGGGGAAAAAAGAUGCAGAGAGGUGAUUCUAGGUCAAAAAUUGACCUAAUAUCACCCCUCCUCGAUAAGUGAAAGAGGAAGAAAACGUAGAGAGAAGACAGAGUUUCUCUCACUAAAAAAUUAGGGACAGCUAUUGUAUUGCAAAAAAAAAAAAAAAAAAAAAAAACUAGACAUAUUCUUUUCGUGUUUGUUACAUGAUUAUAAUGUUAAGAAGAAGAUGAGCUUUAU